rnacentral:rRNA from 1 species
CGGAGUUACAAAGGACGACAUUAGACGAAUCAUCUGGAAAGAUGAAUCAAAGAAGGUAAUAAUCCUGUAGUCGAAAAUGUUGUCUCUCUUGAGUGGAUCCUGAGUACGACGGAGCACGUGAAAUUCCGUCGGAAUCUGGGAGGACCAUCUCCUAAGGCUAAAUACUCUCUAGUGACCGAUAGUGAACCAGUACCGUGAGGGAAAGGUGAAAAGCACCCCGGAAGGGGAGUGAAAUAGAACCUGAAACCGUGUGCUUACAAGUAGUCAGAGCCCGUUAAUGGGUGAUGGCGUGCCUUUUGUAGAAUGAACCGGCGAGUUACGAUUUGAUGCAAGGUUAAGCAGUAAAUGUGGAGCCGUAGCGAAAGCGAGUCUGAAUAGGGCGUUUAGUAUUUGGUCGUAGACCCGAAACCAGGUGAUCUACCCUUGGUCAGGUUGAAGUUCAGGUAACACUGAAUGGAGGACCGAACCGACUUACGUUGAAAAGUGAGCGGAUGAACUGAGGGUAGCGGAGAAAUUCCAAUCGAACCUGGAGAUAGCUGGUUCUCUCCGAAAUAGCUUUAGGGCUAGCCUCAAGUGAUGAUUAUUGGAGGUAGAGCACUGUUUGGACGAGGGGCCCCUCUCGGGUUACCGAAUUCAGACAAACUCCGAAUGCCAAUUAAUUUAACUUGGGAGUCAGAACAUGGGUGAUAAGGUCCGUGUUCGAAAGGGAAACAGCCCAGACCACCAGCUAAGGUCCCAAAAUAUAUGUUAAGUGGAAAAGGAUGUGGCGUUGCCCAGACAACUAGGAUGUUGGCUUAGAAGCAGCCAUCAUUUAAAGAGUGCGUAAUAGCUCACUAGUCGAGUGACACUGCGCCGAAAAUGUACCGGGGCUAAACAUAUUACCGAAGCUGUGGAUUGUCCUUUGGACAAUGGUAGGAGAGCGUUCUAAGGGCGUUGAAGCAUGAUCGUAAGGACAUGUGGAGCGCUUAGAAGUGAGAAUGCCGGUGUGAGUAGCGAAAGACGGGUGAGAAUCCCGUCCACCGAUUGACUAAGGUUUCCAGAGGAAGGCUCGUCCGCUCUGGGUUAGUCGGGUCCUAAGCUGAGGCCGACAGGCGUAGGCGAUGGAUAACAGGUUGAUAUUCCUGUACCACCUAUAAUCGUUUUAAUCGAUGGGGGGACGCAGUAGGAUAGGCGAAGCGUGCGAUUGGAUUGCACGUCUAAGCAGUAAGGCUGAGUAUUAGGCAAAUCCGGUACUCGUUAAGGCUGAGCUGUGAUGGGGAGAAGACAUUGAGUCUUCGAGUCGUUGAUUUCACACUGCCGAGAAAAGCCUCUAGAUAGAAAAUAGGUGCCCGUACCGCAAACCGACACAGGUAGUCAAGAUGAGAAUUCUAAGGUGAGCGAGCGAACUCUCGUUAAGGAACUCGGCAAAAUGACCCCGUAACUUCGGGAGAAGGGGUGCUCUUUAGGGUUAACGCCCAGAAGAGCCGCAGUGAAUAGGCCCAAGCGACUGUUUAUCAAAAACACAGGUCUCUGCUAAACCGUAAGGUGAUGUAUAGGGGCUGACGCCUGCCCGGUGCUGGAAGGUUAAGAGGAGUGGUUAGCUUCUGCGAAGCUACGAAUCGAAGCCCCAGUAAACGGCGGCCGUAACUAUAACGGUCCUAAGGUAGCGAAAUUCCUUGUCGGGUAAGUUCCGACCCGCACGAAAGGCGUAACGAUUUGGGCACUGUCUCAACGAGAGACUCGGUGAAAUCAUAGUACCUGUGAAGAUGCAGGUUACCCGCGACAGGACGGAAAGACCCCGUGGAGCUUUACUGUAGCCUGAUAUUGAAAUUCGGCACAGCUUGUACAGGAUAGGUAGGAGCCUUUGAAACGUGAGCGCUAGCUUACGUGGAGGCGCUGGUGGGAUACUACCCUAGCUGUGUUGGCUUUCUAACCCGCACCACUUAUCGUGGUGGGAGACAGUGUCAGGCGGGCAGUUUGACUGGGGCGGUCGCCUCCUAAAAGGUAACGGAGGCGCUCAAAGGUUCCCUCAGAAUGGUUGGAAAUCAUUCAUAGAGUGUAAAGGCAUAAGGGAGCUUGACUGCGAGACCUACAAGUCGAGCAGGGUCGAAAGACGGACUUAGUGAUCCGGUGGUUCCGCAUGGAAGGGCCAUCGCUCAACGGAUAAAAGCUACCCCGGGGAUAACAGGCUUAUCUCCCCCAAGAGUUCACAUCGACGGGGAGGUUUGGCACCUCGAUGUCGGCUCAUCGCAUCCUGGGGCUGUAGUCGGUCCCAAGGGUUGGGCUGUUCGCCCAUUAAAGCGGUACGCGAGCUGGGUUCAGAACGUCGUGAGACAGUUCGGUCCCUAUCCGUCGUGGGCGUAGGAAAUUUGAGAGGAGCUGUCCUUAGUACGAGAGGACCGGGAUGGACAUACCUCUGGUGUACCAGUUGUCGUGCCAACGGCAUAGCUGGGUAGCUAUGUGUGGACGGGAUAAGUGCUGAAAGCAUCUAAGCAUGAAGCCCCCCUCAAGAUGAGAUUUCCCAACUUCGGUUAU